GCGCAAGUGGUGUAAGGCGUAGAAUAGCUGCCCGGAAAGCAGACGAUGCGGGAUCGAAUUCCGCCUGACGCA
rnacentral:tRNA from 1 species